rnacentral:rRNA from 1 species
GAUGAACGCUGGCGGCGUGCCUAAUACAUGCAAGUCGAGCGAACAGACGAGGAGCUUGCUCCUCUGACGUUAGCGGCGGACGGGUGAGUAACACGUGGAUAACCUACCUAUAAGACUGGGAUAACUUCGGGAAACCGGAGCUAAUACCGGAUAAUCUAUUGAACCGCAUGGUUCAAUAGUGAAAGACGGUUUUGCUGUCACUUAUCGAUGGAUCCGCGCCGCAUUAGCUAGUUGGUAAGGUAACGGCUUACCAAGGCAACGAUGCGUAGACGACCUGAGAGGGUGAUCGGCCACACUGGAACUGAGACACGGUCCAGACUCCUACGGGAGGCAGCAGUAGGGAAUCUUCCGCAAUGGGCGAAAGCAUGACGGAGCAACGCCGCGUGAGUGAUGAAGGUCUUCGGAUCGUAAAACUCUGUUAUUAGGGAAGAACAAAUGUGUAAGUAACUAUGCACGUCUUGACGGUACCUAAUCAGAAAGCCACGGCUAACUACGUG